rnacentral:rRNA from 1 species
AUUGAACGCUGGCGGCAGGCCUAACACAUGCACGUCGAACGAGUGGCGGACUGGUGAGUAAUGUCUGGGAAACUCCCUGAUGUAGGGGGAUAACUACUGGAAACGGUAGCUAAUACCGCAUACCAUCAGAUGUGCCCAGAUGGGAUUAGCUUGUUGGUGGGGUAACGGUUCCCGCCGGCGACUAUCCCUAGCUGGUCUGCGAGGCUGACCAGCCACACUGGAACUGAGACACGGUCCAGACUCCUAAGGGCGGCAGCAGUGGUGAAUAUUGCACAAUGGGCGCAAGCCGGAUGCAGCCAUGCCGCGUGUAUGAAGAAGGCCGUCGGGUUGUAAAGUACUUUCAGCGGGGAGGCGUUACCCGCAGAAGAAGCACCGGCUAACUCAGUGCCAGCAGCCGCGGUAAUAC